AGACCCGAAACCCGGUGAUCUAGCCAUGGGCAGGUUGAAGGUUGGGUAACACUAACUGGAGGACCGAACCGACUAAUGUUGAAAAAUUAGCGGAUGACCUGUGGCUGGGGGUGAAAGGCCAAUCAAACCGGGAGAUAGCUGGUUCUCCCCGAAAGCUAUUUAGGUAGCGCCUCGUGAAUUCAUCUCCGGGGGUAGAGCACUGUUUCGGCUAGGGGGCCAUCCCGGCUUACCAACCCGAUGCAAACUGCGAAUACCGGAGAAUGUUAUCACGGGAGACACACGGCGGGUGCUAACGUCCGUCGUGAAGAGGGAAACAACCCAGACCGCCAGCUAAGGUCCCAAAGUCAUGGUUAAGUGGGAAACGAUGUGGGAAGGCCCAGACAGCCAGGAUGUUGGCUUAGAAGCAGCCAUCAUUUAAAGAAAGCGUAAUAGCUCACUGGUCGAGUCGGCCUGCGCGGAAGAUGUAACGGGGCUAAACCAUGCACCGAAGCUGCGGCAGCGACGCUUAUGCGUUGUUGGGUAGGGGAGCGUUCUGUAAGCCUGUGAAGGUGUGUCGUGAGGCAUGCUGGAGGUAUCAGAAGUGCGAAUGCUGACAUAAGUAACGAUAAAGCGGGUGAAAAGCCCGCUCGCCGGAAGACCAAGGGUUCCUGUCCAACGUUAAUCGGGGCAGGGUGAGUCGACCCCUAAGGCGAGGCCGAAAGGCGUAGUCGAUGGGAAACGGGUUAAUAUUCCCGUACUUGGUGUUACUGCGAAGGGGGGACGGAGAAGGCUAUGUUGGCCGGGCGACGGUUGUCCCGGUUUAAGCGUGUAGGUGUGUGUUCCAGGUAAAUCCGGUUCACUUUAACACUGAGGCGUGACGACGAGGCACUACGGUGCUGAAGCAACAAAUGCCCUGCUUCCAGGAAAAGCCUCUAAGCAUCAGGUAACAUCAAAUCGUACCCCAAACCGACACAGGUGGUCAGGUAGAGAAUACCAAGGCGCUUGAGAGAACUCGGGUGAAGGAACUAGGCAAAAUGGUGCCGUAACUUCGGGAGAAGGCACGCUGACACGUAGGUGAAGUGAUUUACUCAUGGAGCUGAAGUCAGUCGAAGAUACCAGCUGGCUGCAACUGUUUAUUAAAAACACAGCACUGUGCAAACACGAAAGUGGACGUAUACGGUGUGACGCCUGCCCGGUGCCGGAAGGUUAAUUGAUGGGGUCAGCGCAAGCGAAGCUCCUGAUCGAAGCCCCGGUAAACGGCGGCCGUAACUAUAACGGUCCUAAGGUAGCGAAAUUCCUUGUCGGGUAAGUUCCGACCUGCACGAAUGGCGUAAUGAUGGCCAGGCUGUCUCCACCCGAGACUCAGUGAAAUUGAACUCGCUGUGAAGAUGCAGUGUACCCGCGGCAAGACGGAAAGACCCCGUGAACCUUUACUAUAGCUUGACACUGAACAUUGAGCCUUGAUGUGUAGGAUAGGUGGGAGGCUUUGAAGUGUGGACGCCAGUCUGCAUGGAGCCGACCUUGAAAUACCACCCUUUAAUGUUUGAUGUUCUAACGUGGACCCGUAAUCCGGGUUGCGGACAGUGUCUGGUGGGUAGUUUGACUGGGGCGGUCUCCUCCUAAAGAGUAACGGAGGAGCACGAAGGUUGGCUAAUCCUGGUCGGACAUCAGGAGGUUAGUGCAAUGGCAUAAGCCAGCUUGACUGCGAGCGUGACGGCGCGAGCAGGUGCGAAAGCAGGUCAUAGUGAUCCGGUGGUUCUGAAUGGAAGGGCCAUCGCUCAACGGAUAAAAGGUACUCCGGGGAUAACAGGCUGAUACCGCCCAAGAGUUCAUAUCGACGGCGGUGUUUGGCACCUCGAUGUCGGCUCAUCACAUCCUGGGGCUGAAGUAGGUCCCAAGGGUAUGGCUGUUCGCCAUUUAAAGUGGUACGCGAGCUGGGUUUAGAACGUCGUGAGACAGUUCGGUCCCUAUCUGCCGUGGGCGCUGGAGAACUGAGGGGGGCUGCUCCUAGUACGAGAGGACCGGAGUGGACGCAUCACUGGUGUUCGGGUUGUCAUGCCAAUGGCACUGCCCGGUAGCUAAAUGCGGAAGAGAUAAGUGCUGAAAGCAUCUAAGCACGAAACUUGCCCCGA
rnacentral:rRNA from 1 species